CGUUAAAACAUCGGUUCCCGUACGAUCAUCAAAGUUAAGCAACGUCGAGUCUAGUCAGUACCUAGAUGGGUGACUGCUUGGGAAUACCAGAUACUGUAAG